AGGGGGAUAACAGUUAGAAAUGACUGCUAAUACCGCAUAAGCGCACAGUCUCGCAUGGGACAGUGUGAAAAACUGAGGUGGUGUGAGAUGGAUCCGCGUCUGAUUAGGCAGUUGGCGGGGUAACGGCCCACCAAACCAACGAUCAGUAGCCGGCCUGAGAGGGUGAACGGCCACAUUGGGACUGAGACACGGCCCAAACUCCUACGGGAGGCAGCAGUGGGGAAUAUUGCACAAUGGGGGAAACCCUGAUGCAGCGACGCCGCGUGAAGGAAGAAGUAUUUCGGUAUGUAAACUUCUAUCAGCAGGGAAGAAAGUGACGGUACCUGACUAAGAAGCCCCGGCUAACUACGUGCCAGCAGCCGCGGUAAUACGUAGGGGGCAAGCGUUAUCCGGAUUUACUGGGUGUAAAGGGAGCGUAGACGGCAGCGCAAGUCUGGAGUGAAAUCCCAUGGCUUAACCAUGGAACUGCUUUGGAAACUGUGCAGCUGGAGUGCAGGAGAGGUAAGCGGAAUUCCUAGUGUAGCGGUGAAAUGCGUAGAUAUUAGGAGGAACACCAGUGGCGAAGGCGGCUUACUGGACUGUAACUGACGUUGAGGCUCGAAAGCGUGGGGAGCAAACAGGAUUAGAUACCCUGGUAGUCCACGCGGUAAACGAUGAUCACUAGGUGU
rnacentral:rRNA from 1 species